rnacentral:rRNA from 1 species
ACGUAGGGUGCAAGCGUUAAUCGGAAUUACUGGGCGUAAAGCGUGCGCAGGCGGUUGUGCAAGACAGGUGUGAAAUCCCCGGGCUUAACCUGGGAACUGCACUUGUGACUGCACGGCUGGAGUGCGGCAGAGGAGGAUGGAAUUCCGCGUGUAGCAGUGAAAUGCGUAGAUAUGCGGAGGAACACCGAUGGCGAAGGCAAUCCCCUGGGCCUGUACUGACGCUCAUGCACGAAAGAGUGGGGAGCAAACAGGAUUAGAUACCCUGGUAGUCCACGCCCUAAACGAUGUCAACUGGUUGUUGGGAGGGUUUCUUCUCAGUAACGUAGCUAAAGCGUGAUGUUUACCGCCUGGGGAGUACGGCCGCAAGGUUG